rnacentral:rRNA from 1 species
UACGGGGGGGGGCAAGCGUUGUUCGGAAUUACUGGGCGUAAAGGCUCGUAGGCGGCCAACUAAGUCGGAUGUGAAAUCCCCAGGCUCAACUUGGGAACUGCAUCCGAUACUGGAUGGCUUGAAUUCGGGAGAGGGAUGCAGAAUUCCAGGUGUAGCGGUGAAAUGCGUAGAUAUCUGGAGGAAUACCGGUGGCGAAGGCGGCAUCCUGGACCGACAUUUGACGCUGAGGAGCGAAAGCUAGGGGAGCAAACGGGG